AUAGUGAGUGAGUAAAUAGGGAACGAUUUCGAACACAGCUCCUAUCGUUCGUGGAUAUUUUGAACUUUUACCCGGAAGUAAAUCGAGUCGCUGCGAUGACUUCUGGUGCCAUCUGGUGGUGGAGUCCCCUUUACCUCAUGCUUUACCUCCGUUUGACUUCUAGCGCCAUCUGGUGGUGGAGGCUUCUUACUACAGUUUGACUUCUGGCACCAUCUUGUGGCAGAGUCCCCUUACUGUAGUCUGGAUUUUAGUUUGGCCUGGGAAAGAGUCAUGUAAUUCAUUAUGGGCUCCAAGAUGAGGCUCUCAAAAGUAGUUAAUACAGUCAUUGCGCUCAUUCUGUUUUUAUAGAAGUCAAUGCCAUGAGGGAAUUUAGGUGGGCAACAUUUUACAAUCUGACAUUCUAGACAGUGAAAUAUCGAUGAACUUCACAGUAGACCUACCCUAGCAUGCUUAAACAGAAGCAGGUGAUAUAUCUGAAAAGGAAAAGCGUGAAGAAAAAAGAUAUUUUAGCCAACUGGCUGCUGGUCCUUCUUUUUCCAGAGAGAAAAAAUGCACGGCAUUCAGGUCUGGACUGGGAAGUCUCAGUCUACUUGCGUGAAGGCAGUGGUGGAUGGGAUGUAGCUGUGGGUUAUACCGACUGAAAAAGGCAUUCAAAUGAUGAGAAUGCAAUUUAAACUUAGAUUCUGCUGCCAGAUAGUUUUAUGUCUGUCGUUUGGACAGAUUUUUUACGUGGACGUGGCUGCACUCAUAUACGUCACACCUCGGAGCAGCACAUCAGUCGGUGAUGCAAACUUCAUAUAUGAGUUCUUGCUCGGAGGGGUUGAGAUUGACCAGGACAACAACUUUGUCUUGCUUGAUAGAGAGAUGGCGUCCAUGAGGCAGGGUCGGGCUUUUCUGGCUCAAAUCAACGACAAUAUCCCCAAAACCCUGCCCUCAGUGGAGGCCAUGCUGAGCACACUUAAGGGUCCGAGGCAUACGUCCAACUCUCGGGUCCAGUUUGACAGCCUCGUCCUGACUAUAG